ncrna:unclassified sequences Betaproteobacteria-1 RNA
ACAAUUCCUGUACUGGCGGCUCUAACGACAUCGUAGCGGUACAGGAGCAGUAAAGCGUUACUAGAAGGGUAAGAGGCUGAAACAGCGCAAUACAGGUGGCGAAGUUAGUGCCUGUGCCUCGCAAGACUGACGGGU